rnacentral:rRNA from 1 species
AGUGAACGCUGGCGGUAGGCCUAACACAUGCAAGUCGAACGGCAGCACAGUAAGAGCUUGCUCUUACGGGUGGCGAGUGGCGGACGGGUGAGGAAUACAUCGGAAUCUACUUUUUCGUGGGGGAUAACGUAGGGAAACUUACGCUAAUACCGCAUACGACCUACGGGUGAAAGCAGGGGAUCUUCGGACCUUGCGCGAUUGAAUGAGCCGAGGUCGGAUUAGCUAGUUGGCGGGGUAAAGGCCCACAAAGGCGACGAUCCGUAGCUGGUCUGAGAGGAUGAUCAGCCACACUGGAACUUAGACACGUUACAGACUCCUACGGGAGGCAGCAGUGGGGAAUAUUCGACAAUGGGAGCAAGCCUAAUCCAGCCAUACCGCGUAGGUGAAGAAGGCCUUCGGGUUGUAAAGCCCUUUUGUUGGGAAAGAAAAGCAGCAGAUUAAUACCCCGCUGUUCUGACGGUACCCAAAGAAUAAGCACCGGCUACCUUCGUG